AGAGUGUAAAGGCAAAAGAGAGCUUGAUUGCAAGACAUACAGGUCGAGCAAGGAUGAAAAUCGGACUUAGUGAUCCGGUGGUUCUGCGUGGAAGGGCCAUCGCUCAACGGAUAAAAGCUACCCUGGGGAUAACAGGCUUAUCUCCCCCAAGAGUCCACAUCGACGGGGAGGUUUGGCACCUCGAUGUCGGCUCAUCACAUCCUGGGGCUGUAGUAGGUCCCAAGGGUUGGGCUGUUCGCCCAUUAAAGUGGUACGCGAGCUGGGUUCAGAACGUCGUGAGACAGUUCGGUCCCUAUCCGUCGCAGGCGUAGGAAAUUUGAGAAGACCUGUCCUUAGUACGAGAGGACCGGGAUGGACGUAUCUCUGGUGUACCAGUUGUCCUGCCAAGGGCAUGGCUGGGUAGCUAUGUACGGAAUGGAUAAGCGCUGAAAGCAUCUAAGCGCGAAGCCAACUUCAAGAUAAGAUUUCCCACCGCAAGGGUAAGACCCCAGAAAGACUAUCUGGUUGAUAGGUCGAAGGUGUAAGUGCAGCAAUGUAUUUAGCUUAUCGAUACUAAUAGGUCGAGGACUUGACCAAU
rnacentral:rRNA from 1 species